rnacentral:tRNA from 1 species
UAGGGGUGUAGCUCAACUGGCAGAGCAGCGCUCUCCAAAAGCGAAGGUUGCGAGUUCGAUUCUUGCCACCCCUGU